rnacentral:tRNA from 1 species
GGCUAGUUAGCUCAGCGGCAGAGUGGCGGGGUCAUAAUCCGCUGGACCUGGGUUCGAUACCCAGACUAGCCA